AAUCCAACUUCACAGUGAUCCCCAAUGAUGUCAUGAAUUUUCUUCUUUUGCAUGCUUUUAAUUUAUGAAUUGAACAAUUGUCAUUAUCUUCACCUAUCAUUGAUUGUGACUCAAUUCACCUACCUUUGAUGAAAAGACAAGUAACAUAUUUCAAAUAUGGAGGAGUAUGACUUGGUGUUGGUAAGCAACAUCAUGUAGCAGAUGGAGCUUCUGGUCUUCACUUCAUCAAUACAUGGUCAGAUGUAGCUCGCGGCCUAGAUGUUUCCAUCCUACCGCUCAUCGGCCGGACACUACUACACGCCCGGAAAUUCACACACACAAAGUGCGGAUAAGAGAGGUAUUGCGGUUUCAAACCCAAAUAGAAAUAAGUGACAGGCUUAACUUGAUACAUUUAUUCAUGUUAAUGUUUUAAAUGGUUGUUCUGAGAAUUUGGAAAAACAACAAUACUUUAUGAUGUACAAGAUGCUCUUCUUUUCUAAAGAAUCUCGAGCUUCAAACAGAAACAUGUGACACUAAAAAUGUGAGAAAAUUCAAAGCAACUUAGCAUGGAAGAAGAAAACAAAUAUUAAAACAAAGCUUACACACACAGUUGAAAUCCGAGAUAAUAUGGAGGGUGCAGAGUUUCUAGAACGGCGAGGUUCAGAACGGUCAUUAAUAUAUCCACCACCCCUAGCUCCUUUUCCUCUAUGAGAUCUCUUAAUCGAUUCGUAAGCUUGUUCAAACUUUUCCUCCUUUAUGCUUCCAUAGUUUCCUACAUCAUGAUAGAAUUAAAGAAAAAUUUAGUAGUAGCACAGAAGCAAAAACAGAAAUGUAGCAUAACCAUAAUUUAAGGAAAUGAUUGUUUAAAAAGGUGAAGAAUGCUUACUACUAAUAGGUUGCUUUGUUUGUAUGUUGCUAUUUGAUGAGUUUAGACCUCUCUGUUGCGAACUGAAAUUUUGAUGUAAGCCCGAGAUUGAAAUGGCUUGAGUGCAUAUAAUAAUGAUGAAGCAUGUAAGAAAUCUUACUCUCAUUAUGGAGUGAAGAUUCUAUCUACAAAAAUUGACAAUGGUUACUAUAUCUGAAGUUGGUAGAAGGAGAAAAGGGUUUAUAUAAUCUGUAAAAAGAGAGGGAGAGAAUCAUAUGUGAAGAAAGCGAUGACUGUGAAUCAAAUUCUCUAUGUAGAGAUGUUGCUUGAAAGAGAAGCAAGAAGAAUGCAUCAUUUGGAGCCCCUACCUUGUGCUGCAUCAGAUGCGUGUAAUCUUAACCGUGAUGAGCACAUGUAGAUGUAUUUCACUUGCUGUUUACGAAGUAAACCUUGCAAAAGUAGGGAUUUGGAUUCCUUAAAGUCACAAUCUCACGCAUUCAUGCAAUCAGCACAUCGUUAAUUAUUAGAUCGAGAUUCGAAUGUACAAAAAGCAAAUAGAUUUUGAUAUUGUUUUUAACUUUAAAAUAUUUUUAAUAGUCCUAUAUCGGAUGAUAUAUAGCAUGAACAUGUGCUUAUAAGCGGAGACAAUCCUCACCCUAUAAGUCUCUUUUGAAGGGAUGAGUUAGACCCAACCACAAUUAUUAACAUGGCAUCAAAGCCCAGUUUAAGAUCCGGUGGGACAAUAAG